CCACAAUUGGCAACAUGCUUGUAGUGUAGCCCAUUUUGGUUAUCUUAUGAUUAAGAAGCUCAAGUUAAUUGAACAGGGUUAUCUUACGCCGUUACAAGGAUUUGCAAUCUUGGUCUCGGCAAUCGCGCAUGAUAUUGACCAUCGUGGAACAAACAAUAGAUUUCAGUCUUGUACAAAUUCAGAUCUUUCCAAGUUAUACAAUACACAAGAAUCUAUUUUAGAGAGACAUCAUUUGGCCAUUACGUUGUCAAUAUUGCGCAGAGAAGACUGUAACCUAAUAGAAAAAUUAAGCCCUGAUGAUUACAAAGAGUUUAUCGAAUUAUUGACAUG